rnacentral:lncRNA from 1 species
GGCAAGGUUAAGUCCGACGCAUUUUCAGAUCCGCCACCAUUUACCUUAGGACCUGGAGAAAAGACUGUUUCAGUUAGCUAGCUUGAAGGCCUGCUUGGGAAGCAAGAUAGACAAGGAUUUUUUUUCCCCAUCCUCUAGCCUCACGCCUUAUUUUUCUUUCACAAUUCUGGCCAAAGAAAGCAGUAACUCAUAAUCAGAAGAGAAUUUAUCAUGAAGUUAAUUAAGCUGUGUACCUAAUUUUGUAUCUGUCAUCGUGUAUUCUUAAAAGAAGACUCCGACAUUGUAUAAGUUCUGGAUCUGAACAAAACCUGGAUAAACUCUGGUGCUUUAUUAACUUGAUGAAGAUUAGUGACACUGAGGAAUACUGAGGAACCAGGCUCUAUUCCACCCCAUCCCCUUCAUACACACCUCAUUCCAAAUGCUAUCCUGUCACAGCAGAUGCCACAUCACUUUUGGGGUGGGCUAAGAGAUCAAGAUACACCUACAUUACCAUUUCAAGAGCAACUCAUGGAAGCAUCAGUCCUUUUCAUCUGUCAUUUUACAAGUAGGAAAACUUCAGCUUCUCAAGUGGGCUGGUUCUGUGAUCGACUUCUCUCAGUCUUGAAGAAAAC